rnacentral:rRNA from 1 species
AGUGGACGCUGGCGGUAGGCCUAACACAUGCAAGUCGAACGGCAGCACAGUAGGAGCUUGCUCUUACGGGUGGCGAGUGGCGGACGAGUGAGGAAUACAUCGGAAUCUACUUUUUCGUGGGGGAUAACGUAGGGAAACUUACGCUAAUACCGCAUACGACCUACGGGUGAAAGCAGGGGAUAUUCGGACCUUGCGCGAUUGAAUGAGCCGAUGUCGGAUUAGCUAGUUGGCGGGGUAAAGGCCCACCAAGGCGACGAUCCGUAGCUGGUCUGAGAGGAUGAUCAGCCACACUGGAACUGAGACACGGUCCAGACUCCUACGGGAGGCAGCAGUGGGGAAUAUUGGACAAUGGGCGCAAGCCUGAUCCAGCCAUACCGCGUGGGUGAUGAAGGCCUUCGGGUUGUAAAGCCCUGUUGUUGGGAAAGAAAAGCAGCAUGUUAAUACCCCGCUGUUCUGACGGUACCCAAAGAAUAAGCACCGGCUAACUUCGUG